rnacentral:rRNA from 1 species
GACGGACGCUGGCGGCGUGCUUAACACAUGCAAGUCGAACGGCAAGGCCCUGCUUUUGUGGGGUGCUCGAGUGGCGAACGGGUGAGUAACACGUGAGUAACCUGCCCUUGACUUUGGGAUAACUUCAGGAAACUGGGGCUAAUACCGGAUAGGAGCUCCUGCUGCAUGGUGGGGGUUGGAAAGUUUCGGCGGUUGGGGAUGGACUCGCGGCUUAUCAGCUUGUUGGUGGGGUAGUGGCUUACCAAGGCUUUGACGGGUAGCCGGCCUGAGAGGGUGACCGGCCACAUUGGGACUGAGAGACGGCCCAGACUCCUACGGGAGGCAGCAGUGGGGAAUAUUGCACAAUGGGCGGAAGCCUGAUGCAGCAACGCCGCGUGCGGGAUGACGGCCUUCGGGUUGUAAACCGCUUUCGCCUGUGACGAAGCGUGAGUGACGGUAAUGGGUAAAGAAGCACCGGCUAACUACGUG